rnacentral:rRNA from 1 species
UGUGAACGCUGGCGGUAGGCCUAACACAUGCAAGUCGAACGGCAGCACAGUAAGAGCUUGCUCUUACGGGUGGCGAGUGGCGGACGGGUGAGGAAUACAUCGGAAUCUACUUUUUCGUGGGGGAUAACGUAGGGAAACUUACGCUAAUACCGCAUACGACCUACGGGUGAAAGCAGGGGAUCUUCGGACCUUGCGCGAUUGAAUUAGCCGAUGUCGGAUUAGCUAGUUGGCGGGGUAAAGGCCCACCAAGGCGACGAUCCGUAGCUGGUCUGAGAGGAUGAUCAGCCACACUGGAACUGAGACACGGUCCAGACUCCUACGGGAGGCAGCAGUGGGGAAUAUUGGACAAUGGGCGCAAGCCUGAUCCAGCCAUACCGCGUGGGUGAAGAAGGCCUUCGGGUUGUAAAGCCCUUUUGUUGGGAAAGAAAAGCAGCAGGUUAAUACCCCGCUGUUCUGACGGUACCCAAAGAAUAAGCACCGGCUAACUUCGUG